UUAAGUUGUGCAACUCCCUGCAAACCGAGACCUCUAGGGAGUAUAAAAACGUCUCUCAUACCUCAGCUAAGGGUGCUGAGGAAUAGUAACUCCA
rnacentral:ncRNA from 1 species